rnacentral:rRNA from 1 species
GACGAACGCUGGCGGCGUGCUUAACACAUGCAAGUCGAACGGAAAGGCCCUGCUUUUGUGGGGUGCUCGAGUGGCGAACGGGUGAGUAACACGUGAGUAACCUGCCCUUGACUUUGGGAUAACUUCAGGAAACUGGGGCUAAUACCGGAUAGGAGCUCCUGCUGCAUGGUGGGGGUUGGAAAGUUUCGGCGGUUGGGGAUGGACUCGCGGCUUAUCAGCUUGUUGGCGGGGUAGUGGCUUACCAAGGCUUUGACGGGUAGCCGGCCUGAGAGGGUGACCGGCCACAUUGGGACUGAGAUACGGCCCAGACUCCUACGGGAGGCAGCAGUGGGGAAUAUUGCACAAUGGGCGGAAGCCUGAUGCAGCAACGCCGCGUGCGGGAUGACGGCCUUCGGGUUGUAAACCGCUUUCGCCUGUGACGAAGCGUGAGUGACGGUAACGGGUAAAGAAGCACCGGCUAACUACGUG